rnacentral:rRNA from 1 species
UACGGGGGGGGCAAGCGUUGUUCGGAAUUACUGGGCGUAAAGGGUUUGUAGGUGGCCAACUAAGUCAGACGUGAAAUCCCUCAGCUUAACUGGGGAACUGCGUCUGAUACUGGUUGGCUUGAGUGCAGGAGAGGAACGCGGAAUUCCAGGUGUAGCGGUGAAAUGCGUAGAUAUCUGGAGGAACACCGGUGGCGAAGGCGGCAUCCUGGACCAAUAUUGACGCUGAGGAGCGAAAGCCAGGGGAGCAAACGGG